rnacentral:rRNA from 1 species
CAGUCGCCGCGGUAAUACGUAGGGUGCAAGCGUUAAUCGGAAUUACUGGGCGUAAAGCGUGCGCAGGCGGUUUGUUAAGACAGAUGUGAAAUCCCCGGGCUCAACCUGGGAACUGCAUUUGUGACUGGCGAGCUAGAGUAUGGCAGAGGGGGGUAGAAUUCCACGUGUAGCAGUGAAAUGCGUAGAGAUGUGGAGGAAUACCGAUGGCGAAGGCAGCCCCCUGGGCCAAUACCGACGCUCAUGCACGAAAGCGUGGGGAGCAAACAGGAUUAGAUACCCCCGUAGUCCCUGUCUCUUAUAC